rnacentral:lncRNA from 1 species
GUUUCAUCUUGCAGGGCUGGGGUAAGAUGAGUUAACUUUGUUAAACAUAUUGGUGUGUCAUAAAUAUGUAUGCCGCCUUAGAAGCCAUCAGCUGCCCUAGUCAUAUUGAGUCAUACAUCUGGAACACAGCUGAAGGGGUUAAUUAAAAACAGCUGCUUCUAAUCGUGCUUGUGUUUGCUUCCCUAUGAAAGGGCAAGGGAAAGACAGAAUCCAAAAAAACAGAAAAAGGAGCCUUGCAGGGAGAUGGGAACUCUCCAGCCAAGCUGAUGUGAGGAGAGUCUAGACUCCGAGAAUCAGGAAAGACUCCUGAUGAGUACCUUAAAAUGGGCUGAAGCUAAAUACAAAUGUACCAUUAAGAUGGAACACACUCAGCUUGAAGUAGAAGGCAUGGCCUGUUAUACGAGUCAAUCUCUCUCUCUGAAUGGGAGCUACCAAUUUAGCUAUGCUGCCUUGCCAGUGAACACCAGGGAUCCAUGGGUCUCCAUCCAAACACUGGGCUACAGG